UUCGCAAUGCCCGAAAGGGUGACGAAGCGACGCCGCGUGCGGGAAGAAGGCCUUCGGGUUGUAAACCGCUGUCGGGAGUUAAGAAGUGCAAGGGUGUUAAUAGCAUCUUUGCUUGACUAAGGCUCCGGAGGAAGCCACGGCUAACUCUGUGCCAGCAGCCGCGGUAAUACAGAGGCGGCAAGCGUUGUUCGGAAUUAUUGGGCGUAAAGAGCACGUAGGCGGCUAUGCAAGUCGGUUGUGAAAGCCUUCCGCUCAACGGAAGAACGGCAUCCGAUACUGCAUGGCUCGAGUGCGGGAGGGGAGAGUGGAACUUCUGGUGGAGCGGUGAGAUGCGUAGAUAUCAGAAGGAACACCGGCGGCGAAAGCGACUCUCUAGCCCGUAACUGACGCUGAGUGUGCGAAAGCUAGGGGAGCAAACGGGAUUAGAUACCCCGGUAGUCCUAGCCGUAAACGAUGGGCACUAAGUAGAGGGGUUUU
rnacentral:rRNA from 1 species